UGCUGCAACUUCCCCUGCUCCAGCCAGGGAUGGAAUGGCUGUGAAGCAGCACAGAGCAAGGCAGGCCUUGCCGGCGUGGCGGCCAGCAGCAGGAGGUGCUGCCCUGUCCCUCUCCCAUGGGCUGCGGGGCUGAGCGCUGCAGGUGGCUGACACGCAGUGGGGAUGUGCCAGCAGGGCCUUUGGCGUGGUGUGACUUGCUGCUUUAUUGCAAAUAGCUUUGGCCGUUGCUGAUGUGAUAGCAAUAAAAACCAAACCCCCCAAAUCCCUUCCUGCUCUAUCCUUUGGCUGGAUCUGCUGCUGGCACAGGCUUUGCCAGCGCCAGGUGCAAGGGGCUGCUCAGGGGAUGCAAUGAAACCCAGCUCUGAUUUUUGUGUGUAUUUAACCCCUUCCUCCUCCAUUUGCUCCAAUGGAACUCCCUCCCUUUCCAGGUUGUCAAAAUGAGUGCUUUUUCCCCUAUUGUGAGUGUUUUAAUGUUGGAACAUGAGUCAGGAAGGCAACACUAAAAGUAAAAGACCUCCAGGUGCUGGAAAAAACUCCAACUGCCUCCCUGCUCCCACAGCAUGGCUGCUAGCAAUGGGAUGGGCUACAUGGCAACCCCACUGAGCUCCUGGUUUAGGACGUCACCUAAGCAGAGGCCUCUGCGUUUGCCCUGUCCUUGAACUGGCACCCAAGCUUCAGGAGAGCCACAGCCCCCUGGCUGCCUCCUCAGCAUCGCCCUGAUGAUGGUCAGACCCUCCUGGUUAUUUGGGUUGGACCACCAUCCUCUGCCCAGCACGUCUCAGCGCUGCUCGCCGCUUCCUCAUUCCGUCCCAGAUUUCACCAAAGCCCCGUCACCGGUGAAGGUCUGACUGCAGCGACCUCCUGCACAGCUCACACCACCAAAUCUCAGUCCUCCGAGAACCCGAGGGCAGGUGAGACGUUCAUUCAGCUCUCUGCUGUCUUUCAGGCUUGAUCCGGCUCCCACUGAGAGAUAUGAAAUUGCUUCAACAGAAACAGGACCUGACCUUAACCGAGAGACGAGCCAGGACCUGGAGCAGCCCCAGCGCGUGACACAGGCACAGACGUGCCAGCACCACCUCCUCACCCUGCCCCGCUUUGUGCUGCAUCAGUCCCGGGAGAAAAUAGAAAUCCUUCACAAUGAGCAGAGCAGAGGCUUGGCUCAGUAGCGUCAUUUAAUGCCUGAUAAUCCCUCAUCCCAAUUUGCUUGAAUUUAUUAGGUGUCCCUGGAAACAGGUGUGAUGGAAAUACCAUGGAAACGUGAGACAAGUGGAGCCAUCAGUUCACAGCCUCUCCGGCAGCAGUUUCAUCAGGGAGAGCAGAGCUGACAUCACGUGGGCACCUCCCUCUCCUCUCUCCAUCUUCGUGUCGAGAGCCCAAAGACAGCCCCGCACCGAGCCUGGGGGGCACUUUUCAUCAGGACUGGAGUGGGAAUUGUGUCCACAACUGUCGGUGCCAACAGUCAUCCCAAAGUAACCCCAGUGUGGGCAGAAAGGGGCAGAUUAAACUGCCUGAGAUAAGCUGCUUGCAUCUGGAGACACCCAGUGGGGUGUUGCUUCCCUCUCCCCAGCCCUCACGCUUCAGCAGUGCCACUUGGCUCAGAUAAUUUACUUUUAAUAGUCUGGUUACAAAUGAGAUUGCAAAGGAAGCACGUGAUUCUGAACUGGGAUUUCUGAGUCACAUUCUCAUUUCCCCCUCGUGCCUCCUAGGCCUCUAAUAAACUACAAAGAGACAUUAAGAAAACAAUAAGAACUCUUUAUCUAUUGAGACUGGGGAACAGGAGCAGUGAGCCAGCAGUAAUGGAUUCUGUGUAUCUGCAGUACGUCCCUGCAGCAGCGACCGAACGAGGGGAACGGGAAGUUCGAGUGCUCAGGACAUGGAGAGCCCGGAUCAGCUGGCCAGCAGUGGGUAGAAAGCAGCUUGCUUCCAGCACACACGCUGAGCAAGGUGUGCAGACACGCUCAGAGCCACGCAGCAGGAGCCACAGGAAUGCCCAUUUGCAGACAGCAUAGGGACAUAACCACGAUCUCCACGGGGCGCAGGAGCCAGUGCCAUGCUGGCAGGUUUCUGCAGCGACCCACGAAACGUGUUUCCCUGCUUGACCCAUCCCACCGCGUUUCUGACUGCGCUUGGACGUGGUGGAGGUUGGUAGCAUUGAGCUCAGAUUCCAGUCAAGAAAUUUGAAAUUGGAUUUGAGGAAAAGAAAAUAAAAACAAAAUGCAAUCAACAGGGACAGGGAAGAAAAGAGUUGCUGCAGUCUGAGCCUCCAGAAGCUGGAAUAGGAAAGAAUGGAACCAUUCAAGCAUCCCCUGGUGGGGUGGUCCUUCCUCAGGUCCCUGCAAUUGGUCCAGUCCUGCGUCUCACCAAGCACACCCUUGUGCUAUCUCUCAGGUGAGAAUUUCCCAGGGCGUUGCCAUGUGAGAACACCCCUGCUGUGGUGGAGUGAUCAGGUGCUUUGUCAUCAAUUUCCAUGGAGAAUUUUCAUCUCAAUCCUGGACUGGAGCCCUGAGUGUCACAUAUCAGCUGCUGUGCUGCAGACCGAGGUACAGAAGCCCCUCUCCUUCAGAAGAUGAGCUCGCAAGCCAGCACUGCCACCAUCCCUUCACCAGGAGUGAACACUGUGCGUUGGCUUAGAAGAUAAAAACAGAAAGAGCUCAGUCUUGCCUGGCACAGCUCUUCUUCAAACGAUGUGUUGGCUCUGAUAUAUUUCAUUUGUCACACACGUUAUUUUUAAGCCAAGUUCUCUGUGUUGUCUUUUGCUUCCUCCCCUGAGGCCUUUCUGACUCCCCUUGUUCAGCUGCAAUUAGAAACGUUAGGAGCAACACAAUGAUUCUCUGGCAGAUAAGGCUAUCUCUGUUCUGAUGGCUACACUGCUAGCAAUAGAUUGGGUUAUUACUAAUAACUAAUAAGAUGGUUAUUCCCAGCAACAUGGGCCAUCAGAUGGAUUUACUUCUCCCCACUGAAGCUGCUUAUUUCACUGCUACUGGGAAAAUAAGGCCAUUUAGAGUCAUUAAUGGCAGUUGCAAAGGCUUUUCUGAGUAGAUAUACGAGCUGUGUUGCCAUAGCUUCUCGGAUUACUUUGAUCCCAGCCCGUCCAUCUGGCUUCAUGGCCUCACUCUUAUUCCUUGCUCUCUUGUAGGAGUCACUGUUUCAGUGGGACAAGAAAGGUCAUUACAGUCACUCUGGAUCUUACAGGUACUGGACAGGCUUAGCUGACCCUUAAUUUGCCUUCUGUCUAUCAGCCAUCAACGUGCGAAGCAUGGAUAGUCCUCCUUCGAGUGC